GAUGAACGCUAGCGGCAGGCUUAACACAUGCAAGUCGAGGGGUAACAGGGAAUAGUUUACUAUUUUGCUGACGACCGGCGCACGGGUGAGUAACGCGUAUACAAUUUACCUUUUACAGGAGGAUAGCCCAGAGAAAUUUGGAUUAAUACUCCAUGGUAUUACGGAAUCGCAUGGUUUUGUAAUUAAAGUUUCGGCGGUAGAAGAUGAGUAUGCGUCCUAUUAGCUAGAUGGUGAGGUAACGGCUCACCAUGGCGACGAUAGGUAGGGGUCCUGAGAGGGAGAUCCCCCAACUGGUACUGAGACACGGACCAGACUCCUACGGGAGCAGCAGUGAGGAUAUGGUCAAUGGAGCAACUCUGAACCAGCCAUGCCGCGUGCAGGAAGACUG
rnacentral:rRNA from 1 species